GGAGUCCAGUGAAUACAACUGAGGAUUAUUGGAAGGGGAUGUCUUCAUAUUAUGAAGGGAUUUUCAAGGCUGUAGGGAAGACUAUGAGUGUGUGUUUGGCUGCUAAUAGUUUAACGGAUUCUGACCCUUUUAUAUCUGCUUUGGAGCUUGUUUUGGUGUCGGAUUCGUUGUAUAAUUCUACAGAUUUUAAUAUUUAUGGAUUGACUUUGAUUACAAGGAGCAGUUUUGGGAACAAUGGAUCAAUUAUCAAAUAUCCUGAUGAUGAAUUUGAUCGUUACUGGGAGCCCUAUGGACAACAUUCUCCUGCAGAAAGUUUCAGUCAUGUUUCUGUUUCUGGUAUCUGGAAUCACCCUCCGGCAAAAGUAUUUCGGACACGGUUAACAGUACCUAAGCCCGAAGCUAUGGAGUUAUUAUGGCCUCCAGCACCUCUCCCAAACGCAACGUAUUACAUAGCUCUUUACUUUGCUGAUGAUCAAAAUUCAUUCUCAGGAAGAGCUUUCAACAUAAGCAUAAAUGAUAUAGUGUUUUAUCCCAACCUUAAUGUUGC
rnacentral:misc_RNA from 1 species